AGUACACAGGAAGAAGUGACUAAGAGGGUUGCACAAAUAAAAAAUCUCAUCGAGGCUGCCGAACAAGAAUACGAGAAGGAAAAGCUCAAUGAGAGGAUUGCAAAGCUUGCUGGUGGUGUUGCAGUCAUUCAGGUGGGAGCACAAACAGAGACCGAACUAAAAGAGAAGAAGUUGAGAGUUGAGGAUGCCCUAAAUGCUACCAAGGCUGCUGUUGAGGAAGGUAUUGUUGU
rnacentral:misc_RNA from 1 species